CAGGGGUGUAAGAAGAAAAUGCAUAACCAGACAUACUUCUAUAAGGCUCUUCAAAGACCUCAUGAAAAAAUGCAUAACAGAUUAGGGAAAAAAAUCGAGGGAAUAAAAUAAUGAAACACUGUUACCUGUAAAAGGACUGAGUGCAUACUUUACGGUCUCACAAGACUGUAAAGUACAGGGGACCAGAAAAAACGUGAAAGAAGCUGUGUAACAUCCAAGUACAAACACAGUGAUAAACUCAAAAUAAAAACGUGGACACAAAGUCAUUAGAGGCAUCCAGCAACAGUUUAGUUUGAGUAGAUCUGCCUGCUGUCAGUGGCUGUGGCCAGAACACUUCAACCAUGGCGUUGAGCGUAGCAGCAAGAAACAAUCCACUAGUUCAGGGUCAGAGCACACUUUGAACAGACAUUCCAGCAAUGUAUCAAUGUGUAUUCUUAUCAAUACAAUAGUUAUAAGGAAGCAGUUUUCCAAUGCAAUGUAUACCUUGAGAUGGUCAUAAGCAGGAUCCUUCUGGUUUUACCGUUGACCAUCUGCAGAGAUGGGACUAACACCAUUCAUUUAGUGAGGUCAUUGAAUGCUUCUGGACAAUCAUUUUGACCUGGGCACCACACAAAUUUCUUUAGAUUUUUUACUUCAAAGGAAAAAAAGGGUGGUUAUUUAAAAUUGUGUAUGACAUACUGAUUUAAUUUCAGACAUUUAAGAGUGGCCUGGAGUGUCUCGUAAUCCAUUCAAUUCAUUCUUAUUUCAUAAUCACUUUGGCUGGUACACAGUAAAUAUUACAACCCAAGUUAUGUCAUUAACAUUUAUUAAUAUUGAAUUUGACUUUUAAUUAAAUGUUAGCAUUUAAAUGUUAGCUAUUUCUAGGAUUAAAUAACUUGAGGAUAUUUGACUGAUUGGUAGCACUGAGGCUGAGGUGCGGUAAAGGCUCUGUGUGCUCACGUUGCACAAGCAGGUAAAGGUCAGUAGGUGAGGGCAUCUCCAUGGUUACAUUAGGCUGUAAACAACACAGACAAAGUUUAUGAACACUGACUUCUCACAGUAUCAAAAUGAAAAAACAGAAAUAAAGUGGCCAACAAAGUAUUGAGUAAGAAUAUUUUGGUUUCCAAGGCAAGGGCAUCAAAAAACAUCAGUUUAACAUAAAACAAAACCAGAAACAGAGAAAAUCCAGCUUCAAAAGGGAAAUGUUUGAAAAUCAGUUAGAAAUGCAGUCUUAUUUCUUUUAUAAACACGUUAAAC
ensembl:lncRNA